GACAGAGGUGCCGAGCGUUAGGCGGAAUCACUGGGCUUAAAGCGUGUGUAGGCGGGUCGUUAAGUGUCUUGUGAAAUCCCACCGCUCACCGGUGGAACGGCUGGGCAUACUGGCGACCUUGAGAGGCCUAGGGGCAGACGGAACAAGCGGUGGAGCGGUGAAAUGCGUAGAUAUCGCUUGGAACGCCGACGGCGAAAGCAGUCUGCUGGGGGCCUUCUGACGCUGAGACACGAAAGCCAGGGGAGCGAGCGGG
rnacentral:rRNA from 1 species